AAUGUCGUAACAAGGUUUCCGUAGGUGAACCUGCGGAAGGAUCAUUACAGAGUUCAUGCCCGCGAGGGUAGACCUCCCACCCGUGUAUACUGUUACCCUGUUGCUUUGGGCGGGCCGCCGCAAGGCCCUGGCUCCGGCUGGGUCGCGCCCGUCAGAGGACCCCGUAAACUCCGAGUGUCAGUGUCGUCUGAGUGGCUAUAUAUAAUGGUGAAAA
rnacentral:misc_RNA from 1 species